rnacentral:lncRNA from 1 species
AUGAUUACAUCCCUAAAACCUUUUUCUUUUGUUCAGAGUGCCUCCCUGUCAUCCCUCCCUUCACCUAAACGGCCAAGGUCAGCCGUGCCAAAGACAUACCCCUCUGGUACGGUCCCAUCCCCAGUGUAUGAUGAUGAGGACAUGACCCCUCGUGGCCUGCUCAUUGGGAUCAUUCAGAUGGAGAACAAAGCAUCGCUGCUGAUGUCUGGUCAGCCUGCACUUCAAGAAUCAGAGCUGAAUCCAGCCGACACCGGUGUGUCCAGCGCUGGAGAGAGAACGUCAGUAAUCCUCUUCAUGUUGUGCUCAUGUGUCUGUGUUUUCCUCAGUGGAGCUCUGUCUGGAGUGGAGCGGUCUGAUCUGACUCUGAACACUGAACUCCUGACGCAUGUAGUCAGAGGACCGAGCCGCAGGAAACCACCACAUGCCUUCAGUGCAUCAGCGUUCGAGAAACUGUUAGAUCAACAGCUAGGUGCUCACCCAUUCUCACCUGUUAUUUGUGUUCGCAAGAUUCUCACCUGUCAUUUGUGUUCGCAAGGUGGAAUAUUGGCACAUAUUUUGUCACAUGUUCAAAAAGCCACUCAGUAUCAUCUAACCCUUUUUCCAUAUUCUCAGACAACACAGAGGAUGACUCGCAUGUCUCUCAUAAAAGUUACAUCUCUGAGAAGAAAGCGGAUGCAUCUCAAGAUUUAGAUUGGUCUUCUGGCUCAAAAAGGUUAAUGCUUUCUUUAAAGCUAUUUUUAAGAUCUCUCUUGAGUUUUUAGUCAAAAUAAGAGCUCCAUGAUUUUAACUUAAGAAAUCCAUAAAUACUUAAAAAAAGAAAAUUAUUAAACAUUUUAGUAAUAUAUUUCUGUAUUGAUUAGACAUAUAAUACAAUAUUUUUAAAUACAAUAAUAGUAGUGAUAAUAAUUCUAAAUUAAAGUUGAAUGGAGAAAAGCUAAUUUAAUAUGCAAUCUAGAAACGUGUUUGCAUGAUGUGUCCACUAGGUGGCAGUCACACUCCAUCACAGAGGUGUUUAAUAAGAGUGAAAGUGGUGUUGAGUUAUACUCCAGUAUUCGUUCUAAAAUGGAAAUUUCCAAUCUUGGAUGCUGAUUGGUCAAUUCUACAUUCCAAAAUGCACCUCAUGGUAUUCUCUAGUCUAUAUAGUAUAUCAUAUUACGUAAUAUAGAUCAUAUCAUUUAGCUUGGCUUAUUUAUGAUUAGAUCUCAUGGAAGGUUUACACUUCAUUCAUUUGCUUAAUUUUCUUUGUCAGGAUUGUUUUUAAACGUAACUAAAACAUAAUAUGUUAAAAUAAUAUUGUUAUGGGUUACCAGAAGUAAGUAUUAUUUUACUCUUAAUUAAUGCUUUCCCCCCUAUCCAGCCAAACCUUGAGCUCUUAUUCACAAUGUAUCAGCAUCUCUUGCUUAAAUAAUCACUUUAAUGGGACUCAAUGAUGUAGAGUUUAGGUGAAAUUCGAACAAAUUAACUAAUGCACCUUUUCUUAAUCUUUCCCUCCAGCAUUUUUCCCUUCACUAAUGACCGAAGCAGACGUGUGUGUGAGUUUUACAAGGCCAAGUCUGUUUUUGAGAUUUGCAGCUCCAAAAAGAUGCUGGAUUCCCGUUUCUUUCGAAAACUCUUUCUAUAUCUCUUGCCUUUAUUUAGUGUCAGACUGGAUUUAGAUUUAGAUCUUUCUAUUCCAGAUCCGGCUCAUGUCACACACCGUUUUCAGUGUGUUGUCACUAUAGAUCGAGAUCCAGAUGUUGGGUCCCUGCGGCCUUCCUCCUCCUCUUCUUCUUCACCUCCUCUUGCAAGCAGUGACCCUUCCACAUUCUCCACAGUAUGAGUCAGCAGUGCUGCGGCUCCAGCAAACUCCAUCUAUCAUGUUGAGUUUCAUUACAAUGUAGCACUUAAACCAAACAUUGCUUGAAAACGAACUUCUGACAAGCCAAUCUGUUCUCUGUCUCCUUCAUAAAACCACAAACGUGGGUCACACAGCACUGUGACAGCCAGAACGCUCACGUCAUCUAGUGCAUGACUCACCGGGUGAGAAAUGAUCCUCAGUGCGGCUGGAUCUGUUAGCGAACACAUGUGUGAAAUUAGCUGACUUAUUGUAUAAGAUUGGGACUUAUUGUGUAAAAAUGAAAAACCAUUGAUCUAUCUUUCAAAGCCAAAGCCAAUAGUCCCGUUUACUUUCUCUAUACAGUAAUUCUAAAGAAAAACAGCAUCUUUGAUUAAAGCUGCAGUCGGUAACUUUUGACGCUCUAGCGGUUAAUAAACAGAACUGCUUGCGUCUUGCGGAAGAACAUCGUAGCCGGAACUACUUCUCUCUGUUUAUGUCUAUGUAGAAUCACAAAGUACUGAGUUACUCCGCCGCGGUACCCCGAAGCAAUCUAAAAUAGUCCGAAUAUAAACACUUAUUAUAGGUGCACCCUAGUGAUUCAGGACAAGCCAAAAACACGGUUUGGAAAAUGGAUUCAUGUUGUACUCGCUUAUUAUAUACAUUUUUCUACAUUUUGAACACAAACAAAGUUACGGACCGCAGCUCUGAUUGGUUGUUUCUUACCGGGAGCGAUGGAGUUUCUGCAAAUGACAAUAGGACACUGGGAGGAGCCAGAGGAGCUUGGUUUUUUCACAGAUUAUCUGUCUCAUAUUCUACUGUCAGGACAUAAUGACAGGUUUAACAAAUAUGUAAAAAAUAUAUUUUUACAAAAGUUACCUACUGCAGCUUUAAAUGUAACUCGCUCCGCUUCUGAACAGCUGACAUCAUGGAGCCCUUUUUUUUAGCCCCUCCCCUUUAACUACAUGCCAAACAGAGACAACUGUAACCAAUUCCUGAAGGAAAAAAAGAGUUUUUUCAUGAGGAGUAAAGAGAUAUAUCACAUUAUGUGAUUAAAAAAGUUUGUACUGUAGAUACUUCAUGUUGACUACCAAUGUCUGUUUUGCAGGUAAGUAUCGUACACAUUUAGACUUCAACCCUAAUCAAACACACCUGAACCAGCUAAUUAAGGUCUCACUAGGAAUACUAGAAACUUCCAGGCAGGUGCGUUGAGGAAAACUGGAGCUAAACUCUGCAGAACUGAGUUUGGAGACCCCUGAUUUAUGUCAUUCUCUAUUGGUGAGAUGUGACAUCAGUCUGAAAAGCGUAGAAAAGACAUUAGCAGUCUGUCCAGGUAUCUGUCGUAAAUCUCAAAGUUUGAAUGGUCAAAACGAACAAGUUGUGGGGUCUCUCGUUCGUGGUUGGUCUCUAGGCGAGAUGUUUUCAUGUUUUUCUGUAUCUGUUUCCGCGGUGUUGUGUGAAUGUUAUCUGUUCUGGCUGCAGGAGAAUUUUCCGUGUAACUGGCUCUUUUCUUUUCCGUUCCUGCCAGAAGUUGGACCCAGCAGACCCAAAACCAAUUUCAUCAUCACUGCGGGACUGAGUCACACUGCUAAAGAGAGUGAGAGAUGAUCUGCUUGGCCAAAAAUACAUGAAUACUACACACCAGAUGGGAAUAAAGUGGAAAGUAAAUAGGAAAACAGAACGAAGGACAAAGAUGUACAAGGUUCAAGAAAACUCGCUUUCUGGUCUGACUUGGACACACAGGCAAACCCACUCCUGUUUUCUUUAGAAUAUGCAAUCUAGUUAAUCAUACAUGCUACAGGCAACAUUAUCUAAUGCAAUCUAUCAGUUUAAUAUGGUUUUAAUCACAUAUUUUUUCUAGGUUUCUGGCGAAUGGACCAUGACAUUUAAAAUCCCAAGUCUCAAAAACCGCAAAGACGAGUUAUUUCCAGAGAAGGUGAGGGUUAGAACUAUGUUUCCCAGAGCACAAUGUGACCUCUGUUCAAUGGGCGCACUUUGUAGUGUCCAAAACCUCAUUUUGAGUCUUUAUACAGAAUGUUUCCUUUAAUAAAGAUGCCACGGUCCGGAUCCUCACAGAAUCCCUCUCGCUGGUCCAGGUCUGGAACAUUCCAGAACAUUCUUUUACCUUUUCCAUUUUGAG